rnacentral:rRNA from 1 species
GACGAACGCUGGCGGCGUGCUUAACACAUGCAAGUCGAACGGAAAGGCCCUUCCCUUGUGGGUUGCUCGAGUGGCGAACCGAUGAGUAAAACGUGAGUAGACUGACCUUGACCUUGGGACAACUUCAGGAAACUAGGGCGUAUAUCGGAUAGGAGCUUCUGCGGCUUGGUGGGGGUUGGUAAGUUUCGGCGGUUAUGGAUGGUCUCGCGGCGUACCCGCCUGUUCGUGGGGUGGUGGCGUUCCAAGGCUUUGACGGGUAGCCGGCCUGAGCGGGUGACCGGCCCGGUUGGGACUGAGAUACGGCCCAGAAGCGUACGGGAGGGAGCAGUGGGGAAUAGUGCGCAGUGGGCGGGAGCCUGAUGCGGCAGCGCCGCGUGCGGGAUGACGCCCUUCGGGUUGUGAACCGCUUUCGCCUGUGUUGAAGCGUGGGUGACGGUAAUGGGUAAAGAAGCGCCGGCUAACUACGUG